rnacentral:rRNA from 1 species
AUUGCCCGCUGGCGGCAGGCCUAACACAUGCAAGUCGAGCGAGCGGCGGACGGGUGAGUAAUGUAUGGGGACUGCCCGAUAGAGGGGGAUAACUACUGGAAACGGUAGCUAAUACCGCAUACUAUCGGAUAACCCAUAUGGGAUUAGCUAGUAGGUGAGGUCCUUGCUCACCUAGGCGACGAUCCCUAGCUGGUCUGAGAGGAUGAUUAGCAACACGGAGACUGAGACACGGCCCGGACUCCUACGGAGGCAGCAGUGGGGUAUAUUGCACAAUGUUCGCAAGCCUGAUGCAGCCAUGCCGCGUGUAUGAAGAAGCCCCUAGGGUUGUAAAGUACUUUCAGUCGGGAGGCGUUACCGACAGAAGAAGCACCGGCUAACUCCGUGCCAGCAGCCGCGGUAAUAC